GGAUUAGAUACCCUGGUAGUCCUAGCCGUAAACGCUGUAUACUAGUUUUCUGAUGCCUUUUGGUAAUGGGAGAUAAAGCUAACGCAUUAAGUAUACCGCCUGGGUAGUAUGCACGCAAGUGUGAAACUCAAAGGAAUUGACGGGGGCUCGCACAAGUGGUGGAGCAUGUGGUUUAAUUCGAUGAUACGCGAAAAACCUUACCUAGGCUUAAACGUAUGAUGACAUACAGUGAAAGCUGUUUUCUCUUCGGGGCAUUAUACGAGAUGCUGCAUGGCUGUCGUCAGCUCGUGUCG
rnacentral:rRNA from 1 species